UGAGUUUGUGAUACGAAGAAGAAGCUAAAAUGAAGAUUUAUUCUGUUUCUACACGCCAUUACUUUGCUUUGAGUGCUUUAAUGUCCGACGAGCUCGGUUACAAGCUCGAAGGUAUAUGAAAUUAUAGUUUUUGCUUUGAUAAUUCUUGAAUUUUGUUUUAUCUUUGUAUAAUUGUAUAUAAAUAUGUGGGUUUAAUUCAUAAUUUUAUGUACAGUUGUUUUACAUGCUGAUUUUGAAGGCAAUUCAUGAAUUCAAUGAAAUACACACCUUCUUUCUUUCUCUGUCCUCUUUUAAUUGCUAUGAAAUCGACAUCAUCGUUGAAACAUCAUGAUGAUGCUAUUGCUAAAGGCGAUGCUUCUUUUGUCGCCAAGCUUCAAAGUGCCAUCAAAUUCACGGAGAUUGUGAUUGUAGAGUGCUGCAAUCUUUUCUACAAUCAAUGAAUACAAUGAAAUCUGUAAAUUCGGCUCAGGAAGUGCUAGAGGUGAUCAUGGGCCGGGCCGGGUUCGGGCCGGGCCGCGGCCAAAAAAAUUUGCCCAUUGGCCGGGCCGGGCCUAAAUUCGGGCCGAUUUUUUGUGUCCAAAGCCCGCUAUUUCGGGCCGGGCUUAGCGGGCUUUUGCGGGCCAAAACGGGCCGGGCCAAAAAAUAGACUAAAAAGUCGUUUUUAGCUUGCCCAAAGCCCGCCCAAAAACAAAAAAAAAAAUGA